rnacentral:rRNA from 1 species
GACGAACGCUGGCGGCGUGCUUAACACAUGCAAGUCGAACGGAAAGGCCCUGCUUUUGUGGGGUGCUCGAGUGGCGAACGGGUGAGUAACACGUGAGUAACCUGCCCUUGACUUUGGGAUAACUUCAGGAAACUGGGGCUAAUACCGGAUAGGAGCUCCUGCUGCAUGGUGGGGGUUGGAAAGUUUCGGCGGUUGGGGAUGGACUCGCGGCUUAUCAGCUUGUUGGUGGGGUAGUGGCUUACCAAGGCUUUGACGGGUAGCCGGCCUGAGAGGGUGACCGGCGACAUUGGGACUGCGAUACGGCCCAGACUCCUACGGGAGGCAGCGGUGGGGAAUAUUGCACAAUGGGCGGGAGCCUGAUGCAGCAACGCCGCGUGCGGGAUGACGGCCUUCGGGUUGUAAACCGCUGUCGCCUGUGACGAAGCGUGAGUGACGGUAAUGGGUAAAGAAGCACCGGCUAACUACGUG